rnacentral:rRNA from 1 species
UACGUAGGGUGCAAGCGUUAAUCGGAAUUACUGGGCGUAAAGCGUGCGCAGGCGGUUAUGCAAGACAGAUGUGAAAUCCCCGGGCUUAACCUGGGAACCGCAUUUGUGACUGCAUAGCUGGAGUGCGGCAGAGGGGGAUGGAAUUCCGCGUGUAGCAGUGAAAUGCGUAGAUAUGCGGAGGAACACCGAUGGCGAAGGCAAUCCCCUGGGCCUGCACUGACGCUCAUGCACGAAAGCGUGGGGAGCAAACAGG